GACAGAGGGUGCAAACGUUGCUCGGAAUUACUGGGCGUAAAGCGCGCGUAGGCGGAUUGGAAAGUUGGGGGUGAAAUCCCGGGGCUCAACCUCGGAACUGCCUUCAAAACUCCCAGUCUUGAGUUCGAGAGAGGUGAGUGGAAUUCCGAGUGUAGAGGUGAAAUUCGUAGAUAUUCGGAGGAACACCAGUGGCGAAGGCGGCUCACUGGCUCGAUACUGACGCUGAGGUGCGAAAGCGUGGGGAGCAAACAGG
rnacentral:rRNA from 1 species